CUCUUCUAGUAUACUAAUUACAAUUGACUUCCAAUCUCUAAAAUCUGGCACUAAUCCAGAGAAGAGCA
rnacentral:tRNA from 5 species